rnacentral:rRNA from 1 species
CUAUGGAAAAACCGGUGCAAGCGAGGUAGCUUCAUGGGAGGGAAAGCCCCCAUGUAUAAGGCGAAUGCGUGAAGCGUAGCGAACUUAAAAGUAGCGAAGCGUGUGGAGUCACUGUCAGGAAAAGCCGCUAUUGCGUAUCAUGAACCCGUACCGUAAACCGACACAGGUGGAUGAGGAGAGAAUCCUAAGGCCGACGGAAGAAGCAUUGUUAAGGAAUUCGGCAAAAUGACCCCGUAACUUCGGGAGAAGGGGUGCCUACGAAUGUAGGCCGCAGAGAAUUGGCCCAAGCAACUGUUUAGCAAAAACACAGGUUUAUGCGAAACCGAAAGGUGAAGUAUAUGAGCUGACGCCUGCCCGGUGCUGGAAGGUUAAGGGGAGAGCUUAGAGGCAACUCGAAGGUUCGAACUUAAGCCCCAGUAAACGGCGGCCGUAACAAUAACGGUCCUAAGGUAGCGAAAUUCCUUGUCGGGUAAGUUCCGACCCGCACGAAAGGCGUAAUGAUUUGGGCACUGUCUCGACAAUGCAUCCGGUGAAAUUGAAAUACCAGUGAAGAUGCUGGUUACCCGCGCCAGGACGGAAAGACCCCAUGGAGCUUUACUCCAGUUUGAUGCUGGGAUUCGGUACUGCAUGUACAGGAUAGGCGGGAGACUAGGAAGAUAUAACGCCAGUUGUAUCAGAGUCGCUGUUGGGAUACCGCCCUUGUAGUACUGGGUUUCUAACCUGCCACCGUGAACCGGUGGAGGGACAACGUCAGGCGGGGAGUUUGACUGGGGCGGUCGCCUCCGAAAGGGUAUCGGAGGCGCUCAAAGGUUCCCUCAGAAUGGUUGGAAACCAUUCGAAGGGUGCAAAGGCAGAAGGGAGCUUGACUGCGAGGUCGACGGACCGAGCAGGUACGAAAGUAGGACUUAGUGAUCCGGUGGUAGAAAGUGGGAUUGCCAUCGCUCAACGGAUAAAAGCUACCCUGGGAUAACAGGCUAAUCACUCCCAAGAGUUCACAUCGACGGAGUGGUUUGGCACCUCGAUGUCGGCUCAUCGCAUCCUGGGGCUGUAGCAGGUCCCAAGGGUUGGGCUGUUCGCCCAUUAAAGCGGUACGCGAGCUGGGUUCAGAACGUCGUGAGACAGUUCGGUCCCUAUCCGGCGCGGGCGUAGGAUAUCUGAAAGGAGCUGGCCUUGGUACGAGAGGACCGGGCUGGACGGACCGCUGGUGUAUCUGUUGUCAUACCAAUGGCAUAGCAGGGUAGCCAAGUCUGGAAGGGAUAAACGCUGAAGGCAUCUAAGCGUGAAGCCCCCCUUAAGAUAAGAUAUCCCUGGAGUUAAUCCAGUAAGACCCCUUGAAGACGACGAGGUAGAUAGGGCAGAGGUGGAAGUGUGGUAACACAUGGAGCUGACUGUCACUAAUAGGUCGAGGGCUUGAUC